GUCCCUUCUCAGUUUUUUGGCUUAGAUCAAGUGGAGUGUCAGUUCCUAUCAGUUUCGUAUCUGAUUUGUCUCCUGCCUGAGGACAAUAUAUUAAAUGGAUUUUUCGAUCAGGAGGAAGGAAUAGGAGCUUGCUCCAUCCACUCUGCUCACCAAUCCUGCACUGCAGUACCUCCAAGAGUGGUGCAAAAAAG